AGAGAUUGGUUAAAAAAGUGACUAAUCUCGUUGGUUGAGGCAAUAUUGGUCAAAUUAACUGUGACAUUGGUAACUAUUAAACAAACAAAUUGGUUAUCUAACAACUAAUAUCAUUGGUUAAGAACAAAUUGGUUGAUUUAACAAAGAUAUUGGUUAACUUUAAUAACAGAUUGGUUGAAAAAUGACUAAUAUCAUUGGUUAAGCAAAUGUUAACUAAGAGAUUGGUAACUGACGCAGGUCUGACGCUCAACGUCAAGUACGUAACUCUGCUUCUCAAUUUUCUGACAAAGCCGCCAUCUUGGUGCUGCAGGAAAGCCGUUUGAGAUAUUGGUGGAAUUCAAACACUUUGUGAGAUGACAGAAUAUUGCUGAAGGAUCCUACAUGGAAGCUGGCUGAUUACACGGAGUGAUUCCUCUGGUGUGGUGUACCUCAGAGAAAUAAACACUGUUGCAAGAGCUGAGAAGAUGGCCAAGAUAUCCUUAUUGCUGGAUGGUAGCUCUGGUCGUAGUGGACCAUAUCUGCAAAUGCUUCUGAACAUUGACAGAAUUUCUAAAGAUGACUGAGAAUAUUACUGAAGGAUCCUACAUGGAAGCUGUCUGAUUACACUGAGUGAUUCCUCUGGUGUGGUGUACCUCAGAGAAAAUAAACACUGUUGCAAGAGGUGAGUUUAAGUUCAUGAAUUCACACAAAACCAAUCCAUGUAUUUUAUAAAAGUCAAAGUGCUAAACAUGCUAUGUAUUUCAUGCUGUCAAUAUGAGAUGCAAAUUAAUGUUGUGUGUUGUGUGUUAAUGUUG